rnacentral:rRNA from 1 species
UGGGGAAUAUUGGACAAUGGGCGAAAGCCUGAUCCAGCCAUGCCGCGUGAGUGACGAAGGCCUUAGGGUUGUAAAACUCUUUCGUCGGGGACGAUAAUGACGGUACCCGAAGAAGAAGCUCCGGCUAACUUCGUGCCAGCAGCCGCGGUAAUACGUAGGGACCAAGCGUUGUUCGGAUUUACUGGGCGUAAAGGGCGCGUAGGCGGCAAUUCAAGUCAUCUGUGAAAUCUCCGGGCUUAACUCGGAACGGUCAGAUGAUACUGCUUUGCUAGAGUGCAGAAGGGGCAAUCGGAAUUCUUGGUGUAGCGGUGAAAUGCGUAGAUAUCAAGAGGAACACCUGAGGUGAAGACGGGUUGCUGGGCUGACACUGACGCUGAGGCGCGAAAGCCAGGGGAGCAAACGGGAUUAGAUACCCCCGUAGUCCCUGAGCGGGCUGGCAAGGCGCAU